UACGUAGGGUGCAAGCGUUGUCCGGAAUUAUUGGGCGUAAAGAGCUCGUAGGCGGUUUGUUGCGUCGGCCGUGAAAACCUGCAGCUUAACUGUGGGCCUGCGGCCGAUACGGGCAGACUUGAGUUCGGUAGGGGAGACUGGAAUUCCUGGUGUAGCGGUGAAAUGCUUAGAUAUCGUCAAGAACACCGAUAGUGAAGACAGCUAACUAAGCUUUAACUGACGCUGAGGCACGAAAGUGUGGGGAUCAAACAGG
rnacentral:rRNA from 1 species